rnacentral:rRNA from 1 species
CCUACGGGAGGCAGCAGUAGGGAAUAUUGCUCAAUGGGGGAAACCCUGAAGCAGCAACGCCGCGUGGAGGAUGACGGUUUUCGGAUUGUAAACUCCUUUUGUUAGAGAAGAUAAUGACGGUAUCUAAAGAAUAAGCACAGGCUAACUCCGUGCCAGCAGCCGCGGGAAUACGGAGGGUGCAAGCGUUACUCGGAAUCACUGGGCGUAAAGGGGGCGUAGGCGGGAUAGCAAGUCAGAUGUGAAAUCCUAUGGCUUAACCAUAGAACUGCAUUUGAAACUGUUAGUCUAGAGUAUGGGAGAGGUAGGUGGAAUUCUUGGUGUAGGGGUGAAAUGCGUAGAGAUCAAGAGGAAUACUGAUUGCGAAGGCGACCUGCUAGAACAUAACUGACGCUGAGGCGCGAAAGCGUGGGGAGCAAACAGGAUUAGAUACCCUGGUAGUC